UACGGUGGUUAUAGCGUCAGGGAAACGCCCGGUGACAUUCCGAACCCGGAAGCUAAGGCUGACAGCGCCGAUGGUACUGCACUCGGGAGGGUGUGGGAGAGUAGGACACCGCCGGAC
rnacentral:rRNA from 1 species